UUAUUACAACAAUAUUAUCAGUGCUGAAACUUUUAAAGGCAGGGAUGAGAGAGUGUGUGUAUUUAAAUGGGAAGCUCAAUGAAAAUGCUCUAAGAAUAAGACUGUACUAAUAAACAAAAUUUUAUGAGUGGGUUUCAUAUUCACUUAUUCAUAUUCUUGGCCACCAAAAACCCAAAUAGUUUUAUAGUGAGUGCUGCCAUAUGUUUCAAUGACUUUCCCUGAGAUAGACACAUUACACAAACACUUGUCUAAUAAUAUCAUCUCUUUUUAUCACUUUUUUGUUUAUAAAAAUUAUUUCUUGAUAUGAUUUUAGUAUGAUCUGUGGGUCCCUUUCACUAUACCAUUAAUCAUAAUUCAUCAUCAUUAUCAUCAUUCUCAUAUUCACUUAUUCUUGAUCAUGGUUGUUUAUUUCUUCUUAUGUUUUCUUUGCUUGUUGUUUGGUGAUAGGUUGCAACAGUCAUGGCUGAACCAAACAAAAAAGGGAGUUGUAGCUUCCAAUUUCAUUUUUCUGAGGGCUUUUUGACAAGGAUAGUACUGAACUCGUUCUUCUUUAUACUCCUGCUAAGUAACGGUUCCUCGACCUCAGCUUCAGAUGUUGAAGGUUGUACAUACACAAGCCCAUUAUUUAUUUGAUGAUGCAGCAAGCCAUCAAGGAAGGGAAGUUAGUCCCUGCUGCAAAACAUUUUUGUAAUUUACGAGAGUUAGAAUAUCUGAAGAAAUGUGACUUUGAAGCUUUUGUUGUCACAACAUACUUAUGAUCUUUGUGGUCAUCUUCAAUCUUGCAUCUUUAGACUUUUAGGGAGUUUUUGUGUAAAUUAGUUAUUUUAGUUUACAAAGUACUCUGACCAUUACUGUGGAAUGACAAAAAAAUUUAUGUCUACAAUUUUGCUUUGUGAUAUUAA